GACGAACGCUGGCGGCGUGCUUAACACAUGCAAGUCGAACGGAAAGGCCCUGCUUUUGUGGGGUGCUCGAGUGGCGAACGGGUGAGUAACACGUGAGUAACCUGCCCUUGGCUUUGGGAUAACUUCAGGAAACUGGGGCUAAUACCGGAUAGGAGCUCCUGCUGCAUGGUGGGGGUUGGAAAGUUUCGGCGGUUGGGGAUGGACUCGCGGCUUAUCAGCUUGUUGGUGGGGUAGUGGCUUACCAAGGCUUUGACGGGUAGCCGGCCUGCGAGGGUUGCCGGCCACAGUGGGACUGGGAUACGGCCCAGACUCCUACGGGAGGCAGCAGUGGGGAAUAUUGCACAAUGGGCGGAAGCCUGAUGCAGCAACGCCGCGCGCGGGAUGACGGCCUUCGGGUUGUAAACCGCUUUCGCCUGUGACGAAGCGUGAGUGACGGUAAUGGGUAAAGAAGCACCGGCUAACUACGUG
rnacentral:rRNA from 1 species